GAUGAACGCUGGCGGCGUGCCUAAUACAUGCAAGUCGAGCGAACGGACGAGAAGCUUGCUUCUCUGAGGUUAUCGGCGGACGGGUGAGUAACACGUGGAUAACCUACCUAUAAGACUGGGAUAACUUCGGGAAACCGUAGCUAAUACCGGAUAAUAUUUUGAACCGCAUUGUUCAAAAGUUAAAGACGGUCUUUCUGUCACUUAUAGAUGAAUCCGCGCUGCAUUAGCUAGUUGGUAAGGUAACGGCUUACCAAGGCAACGAUGCAUAGCCGACCUGAGAGGGUGAUCGGACACACUGGAACUGAGACACGGUACCGACUCCUACGGGAGGCAGCAGUCGGGACUCUUACGCAAUGGGCGAAAGGCUGACGGAGCAAAGCCGCGUGAGUGAUGAAGGUCUUCGGCUCGUAAAACUAUGUUAUUCGGGAAGAACAAAUGUGUAAGUAACUGUGCACAUCUUGACGGUACCCAAUCAGAAAGCCACGGCUAACUACGUG
rnacentral:rRNA from 1 species